AGCGUGAUGUCGGUGCAGGACUGAACCGGGUAGAAAUUUUCUCGUCCGUGAAUUAUGUGUACUAAGAGGAGUAGGAUUCGUAUGUCUACAAAAAUUAACUCAUUAUUUUAAUCAUACAACUCAACGUGUAUUCUGGAAGGUCAUUCAUUUAAUUCCAGAUAUUUUAGAAAUGUAAAUGUCUUGAACCGAGUCGUCAACAUCAAUCAUGGUGUCCGGGCAGAAGUGAAACGAUUCCAAAUAUUCUAUCAAUAUACACACUUAUACAGUGUAUAUAUAAAUGAAUUUGUGAUACAUCUCCUAGCGCGACAGCCCUAUCACACGUCACGCCGUCACACAUGCGCAAUCGCAGGAUUACACGAUAUCUAGUCACACAAAUGUUUCUCAUGCAGUGUCAGGGUCAAGCGUUUAGAAAGUAAAAGGACACUACGAGUAAAGAUGUUGUCGUUCUGUCGACGUUCAUGACUUCAUUUAUUUAACAACGCGUCAUCAGAUCAAGUAUGAUUGCUCAGCGUACAGUGUGAUAGAAUGAUUGUGUGGUGUAUAUUGAAAGUACAAGGUUUAAAGUACAUUGAAGAAUAUAAGAACGACCGAGGACAAACUGAAGACAUUUAAAUAAGUAAGCCAAUGAUCAGUUGACGUGUUCGGACCUGUCCGUGUACAAGGUUAGUGGUUUGAAAAGCAGGAUUUGAAUGGGGACGUCAUCGAUAUUUGUACUCGAGUUUGGCAUUCCUUCACUAAAUAAAUCGAAAGAAGAAGGUAGGCAUUUUCUAUGAAGUGAAAAAUGAUGUAUGUAAGGGAUACAAGACGAAGAUGGUCUAUUAUAUCAGAUACAGGACUAGCACGAGCCGCGUAGCGGCGAGUGAUCCGUCCCGUAUCUGACAUAAUAGGCCAUCGGAUUCGUGUAUCUUACUUAAAACAUUGUUCUAUCUAAAACAGUAUUUCUCAGAAUAUUGGCCUUUUCUUAAUAAUACUGGACUAUGUUCAGUACAGUAUGAAAAAUAAAGUACUGUCAAGACAAAGAACUGACGUCACAACAAUGUUUUAAGUUUAUGUAAGUAUCAGCUAUACCUGUAUAGAAGAUUGAGAUUUUCCAUUUUAAUGCACAGACCUGAAAGAUAUAAACAUAUGACAAUAUCAAAAUUUUAUAACACACCUAUAGAAAAAGCACUGUGUAAAAAGUAGCAAAUGUGACAUCCAGAUUAAAGGAUAAAUGAACUAGAUGUAACUUCCUGAUUAAGGAUAAAUGAACUACAUGUAGAUUGUUCUUUGAUUCUGACUUUGUUAUCACAAACUGAUUUUUUAAAAUCAAAGUACAUGUCCGUACGCAUACAAUAGUGAUAAAUCACCACGUGGUCCUAUAUAUAUUUUUAUCUUCAUGACCCGCCCAGUGAAGAUAAAGGUCUAUAUUUGCAUUCCUGACCAGGAUUGUGUGAAUUGCUACAAUUUGCAGUGUUGUUUUAGUGAACAGCAAGUCCAUAUUUGAAAGACCUCAGAAAAUUCAAAAUACAUAUGCAUGUAAGUAGAAAACCGUACAUUGAGAAAUUAUAAAUGUAUAAUUUCAUCAAAUGACUAGUAUACAUUGUGGUCCUGUAUAAAACAUAUUCAUAGACAGGUAAAUGAGAGGAAAAAAAAUAUGACUUGCUAGAUAUGUAAGACGAUUACCGGGCGAUACGAAUUGUAGGAUGCAUUUCUAAUUUUCUAUACUUGAAAUGUAAGUAAAGCAUACAAGACGAGGAUGGUCUAUUAUGUCAGAUACAGGACUGACACGAGCCGCGUAGUGAUCCGUCUCCGUCCCGUAUCUGACAUAAUAGACCAUCGGAGUCUUGUAUCUUACUUAAAACAUUGUUCUAUCUAAAAACAAAUGCAUUUAAACGCAAAAAAACACAACAACAAAAAAAACACCAAAAAAAAAAAAAAAAAACAAAAAAAAAAAAACACAACAAAAAACAAAACAAACACUUACAAAUAUAUAUUGGUAGAGACAAAUAUAUUUACACCUUUCGUUUCUGAUUUGUUUUUAAUAUUAAAUAUAUUAGGAAUUCAUAAACUUUAAUGGCACACAAGGUCAACUCUCUUCUUUAAUUCGCUCAUUAAAUGUUAGCUCAUUAAAAUACGAUACUCCUCAAAACAGGCUUUUGUUCUUCAUGGAGAGCGAUUCGAAGGCUUCUAUUGUCUGAAGACUGUACUCAACAAAACUGGUUUUCUUUUUUGGGUGAAUGAGGGUACAUGAAGGUUGGUCGGAAAGAAUCUUUUCGAUAAAACAAAACAUUGAUAUCCCACGUUCCUUUCUGGGAACCCUAAUAAUAUGAUACUGACACGUAGGCCUAUAACUGGUAUAAAAACAGAAGCCGCAGCGCUAUUUUAGCAUUUAGUCCGGGUGCCUGGAAGAAAUGGAUUCAGAUGAUUGAAAAGUACAUGAGUUUGCGGUAAGAUUAUUCAUUAUUUCUACAAAUUCUCCUCAAUAUAUUUAAAAAAAAAUUCACAGUGUUUAUUUUGUUUCUUUCAUUUUUGUUAAAUACAAAUUUCUUUUUAAUCAUUUGUAGCUCCAGCAGUGGAAAAUGCAAUGCAUUAUAUCUCAGACCAAAAAUCGCUCCUAAGGGGAAUGUAUGGUAUGACGACGUCCCAGUCGGGGUACAUCAACUGCAACAGAUUGUGGCCAAAAUGUGUAGAGAGGCAGGAUUUGAUGGGUUUUUUCGUUAUUUUUUUUUUUUUUUUUUUUUUACAAAUCGCUCUCUUCGGGCUACUGCCGCCACACGCCUAUAUGCUACGGGUGUUGAGGAGCAACUUAUAGCGGGGAAAAGUUGGUCACAGGUCAUCAGCGAUUCGCAACUACAAACGCACCUCUGAGGAACAAUUACAGAGUUUAAAGUGAUUUGAUUCAUAAACCGUCCACAGUGUCCCCGCCGGAGCCGAAAAAAGUGAAGCUCAAUGAAAGUGUUUCCUUUGGAUCGGGAAAAGAAAUAAACAUCACUGACAGGGAUGUAACAGUGAAUUUGCGACUUUAAUGUACAUGUGUUUAAAUGAAUGAUUGUGACAUGCAAACAAGUCUGUAUCUUAUGUUACAGAGGACAUUAUUAAAAUUAAAUCCUUUGAUCCGCUCACGUAGAUUCCCUUGUGUAGCGAUCUACGUGAGCGGAUCAAAUGGUCUGAUUUGAAUAACUGUGGUCCUAAACGAUUUCAUAUAUAGUAAAAUUGGAUUCUACACGAAACACUCAUUUCGUAUAAUUUACUGGAAUAUUUCACACCUUGAAUAUUGUAUUUGAUAAAUAAUGUUUUCUCGCACAACGAAGAGUAGUCUUUAUUCCUGGGUUUUACCGUCAGUCCAAUAUUUCAUUGUGUAUGCCAUUAAAAUAGAUAACCUUUGAAGCUACAUAUUUUAUCAAUAAUAGGUCCGAAAUACCCAAGGAAUUGAACAUUUAAAAAUGCAAGAAGGGGGUACCGGAAGGGGUACUACUAAACAGAGUACGUUAGAGUACGAUAGAGUACUUUAGAGUACGCUAGUAAAAUUUCAAUAUUUAAUGCAAUUCAAUUGUUUAUUUGUAUGUAUACCACUUAAAUAAAGAUGAUUAUAAAAUAAAAGUGCAAUACUUGUCAAAAGUAUUUGAUAUUUUAGCGAUAUUUUGACCAGAAAACAUUAAAUGUAUUGAAGAUUUACGGCAUCCCGAUCCCGAUUAUUAGUAGUUUGUUUUGAAAAAGUAUAAAAUUUGAUCGGGAUCGGAAUCAAACGGUAAAUUUAACUUACAAUAAUUCCUAAAAUAAUGAAAACAAACACAAUAUAUUCCAGAUAUACAUUUAAUAGGUUAAACUAAAGUAAGAACAUCUACGAACAGCAGUUAAAUUGCAUUAAAUUAUGAAAUUUUACUAGCGUACUCUAAAGUACUCUAUCGUACUCUGUUUAGUAGGAGAGGUACCGGAAGUCCUGUCCAUCAAAACUGAAACGUUCAGCACUUACAACAAAUAGCAAAUUAACGGAUUAAUAUGAUUUAUGAAACUAUUUAUGUGCGUAUGACCUAAUAACGUAAUAUCCCAUACCCUUUCAAUUUGAAAAUCCAUUUUCAUUCCGAACUGGGGAAUUCCGAAUUUCUGACUAGGCUAUUGCGCAUGCGGUUCGUCGAAUUACCCAAAUGGAACCCAAAAUGGACCCAAAUGGAAAUCAAAUGGACCCAAAUAGAAAUCUAAAUAUGAAUUAUAUAGAUUAAUGAUGAAAUGGAAAUCUAAAUAUGUAUUAGGGAUCGAUCAAUAUUUAUUGGGGAGCUGGGACCGGUGCAAAAUGUAAUAGGACACACAUUUACAUGUAUUUUGACUUGCAUACUGAUAGGACUCCAACUUUUUUUUUUUAUAUUUUCAACACUGAUAGGACAGCUAUAUUUUUUUGCAAAUGUAGCAAAGAGCAAAAAAUAUAAUAUAAAGUAUUUCAAACUUUUAAUUCAACUAUCUUUUUUAAAAAUAAUAAUACUGAAUUGUGUGCAUGCUUUAUUUCAUGUCCAAGUUGAAUAUACUAAAGGCAAUUUGCAAUAAGAUACUGGACCUUUGAUAUUAAUUAAAACAUGUAGUCAUUUUUAAAAUCACAAAAGAAGUAUUCAGCUGUGAAUAAAAAUGCAAAAAUUACAUGUAAGUUUUGCAUGGAGGGAUUUCAAUCAUAGAAAAUAAAAAUGGUUCACCAGUCAUAACUUGAAAGAUACAGACCUAACUUAAGUCUAAAAACAUCUUUGAUAAUUUGAUAGUUUGCCAUUACAACCUAUCCUUGUAUGGGUCAAAUGCUGUCUGAAUUGUUUCAUACCGAGUGUUAAACCGUUUUUGACUACGAAUAACUCCGUUUACCUGAUCAAGAUAUAAGGCUCACAGAGAUGUGACCGGUCGACAGAGGAUCCUUACUCCUCCUAGGCACCUGAUCCCGCCUCUGGUAGAUCCAGGGGUCCAUGUUUGCUCAACUUUCUAUUUUGUAUUGCUUAGGCUUAAAAUAAAAAUUGAUUUUGUUUGAUGUACUCCGACCGACCCGUGAAAUUUGCCCCGACCCGAUCAUUUUUUCCGCACUUUGGAAAUUUCAAUAUUUUUUUUAUUUGCUCCCUGGAAAAUAGACAUUCUUCGAAUUAGUAUUAAACUUGAUGCCAUUUUUCUUUUAUUAUUAUUAUUUGGACUAGUUGUUUUACAGAACUCUUGUUAUCAAAAUGCAGAGUUAAGCGCCCUUGGUAGUAAGUGGUCAGUAACAAAGGAGCUCGUACAAAUAUGUGAAAAACAUCUAUUAAAUCUUGGGCUGGAUUGCCAGAAAUUUUCCAGAAGAUCAAAGGAGUGCUAUAGGUUGUUGAGACCAUGUUUAGCUAAAAUCUUAGCUUUGAAAUGUGAGUAAUUUCAAAAAAUUUUGACGAACCAUUGUUGAUAUGAUUUCUGCUCACCCUGCUGAUGUCGUUGUCGAAUCAAACAUUGAUUUAAACUCUGAUUGAAAUAGUGAAAAGCCAUAAGAGUCUAAAACGAAAUCCGGAGACAAAACAUGUGUCAAUCAAUGAAGAUCUGACGAAACGUAGAGACAAAUUAUUAUUCCUGUGCCGUCAGCUCUGUCGUGAACAAGUGAUUCUGCAGGCGUGGUCUUCCAACGGUAAAAUUCGUAUUAGGGAUCACAGACAGAAAACUCACAUCAUCAGACAAGAGAGUGACCUAUGUCCGUUUGGUCAUACCCCGACGCCAACUGAGAGCUGACUCUGAGUGUACCUAUAUAUGAUGUAUAUAUUAUAUCCAAGAAGUAAAUAUGACUACGUACAGUAUUUUGAAAUGCAAUACCAAUACCAAUUAUUUAGCUAUUUUAUGUUUAUAAUAUUACUACACUGAUAAUAUUACUAUACCGAAAACAAAUACUUUCAUACUCACAAGUUUUCCAGUUAAAACUUUACCUUAAAAUUCAUAUGGCCUCAAAUUUCAAUUAUUUUGUCCUUUUUGUCUGCAAUUCACCCCUCCUAUUUUCCUACCCUACAUGUUUUGUAUGCUUUAUUUGCCAUUGUUUUGCUGUUAUUUGCAUGAACUCAUUUAUUUUGAAAUGUCUUGUAUUACUACCAAAGUAGUACUGUACUCAUGUGAAUUGUUGCCUUGUAUGUAUUUGUGUUUUUUCUCUUUUUUCUUCCAUACCAUUUUGUUUACUUACAAUCAAACCUUAUGUGCAGUUUGUCAUGCAACCAUAUUUAUAUAUUCUAGGUCUUCAAAAAUACAUGUCCUAAUAUUUAAACCCUCAACAGGAAACAUUUUCUAUGAUUGCAGCUACAUAUUUUCAAAUUACAUAUACCACAACUUAGAUAAUGGGUAACUCCAUUGAACAAUUCCGAGCUGCAAUCGGUCUUUUCUAUUUAUCAGGUAGAGGUACUUACAAAAGACAACGUUUUAUUGUGUUACCGUUUUCAUGUUUUAUGCAUUUCCUCAAACACAUUUUAAAACUACUCACUAGUUGUUUGACAUUCAUUAAGCUUAGAUCUGUGUUUAUCAAUUUUUAUCUUCAGUUUUUCAUAUUUGUUUUGUUAACUUGCGGCGAUAUAGAGUUAAACCCGGGUCCUACUGCUGAAAAUGUCCUUGACAUAUUACAUCUGAAUAUCCGAAGUAUUAGGUCAUUUAAAUUCUUUUGUUCAUGACUUUGAUAUUUUAUGUUUUUCUGAAACCCAUCUAGAUAAUUCAGUGAGCAACGAUAAAUUACUUCUUGACGGCUUUAAUAAAAUAAUUGGUAAAGAUAGAAAUUGUUUUGGAGGCGGUGUUAUGAUAUAUUUGUCAAAUCAAAUACGCGCUACAAGACGCCCAGACUUUGAGCCCGCCGAUCUUGAGUGUAUAUGGAUUGAAGUAGAUAACAAUACCUGUGUUUAUCAUCUUUGCUGUAUUUAUAGGCCUCCCAGUUCCGACAGCUCUUUUUGGUUCGGAAUUCGGUUAACAAUAUGAAAAAACACGCGAUAACAAAUUAUUAUGACAAUAUAGAAACCUACUUAGACGAUUCUAGUAAAGACAAUAAUAAGUUAUAUUGGAAGCUGAUGAAAGAUUCGUUUAAUAUUAAAUCAUCGAAUGAAAUACCUCCAAUACAAAUUAAUGAUAACAACGGCGAUAACAAGUAAGUAUAUUCUGAUUCUGAUAAAAUAGAAGCAUUGAAUGCAUAUUUUUCAUCAAUUACCAAUAUUGAUGACACCAAUGAAACACUACCAAAUAUGUAUUGCUUAUGUAAUGAUUCCUUAAAUAGCAUUAUUAUUGAAGAACAAGAAGUAUCGGAUAUUAUUACAAUACUCCCAGUUAAUAAAGCUGUUGGCCCAGAUAGCAUUAGCCAUAAAAUGUUGAAAUCAACAAAAACUACCAUUAUCAAACCACUUACUAUGCUAUUCAACAGAUCAUUGUCAGAAAAUAUUUUCCCAUCUUUUUGGAAAAUUGCUCACGUCAUUCCUCUUUUUAAGAAGGAAGACCCGUCAAUAGUAUCUAAUUAUAGACCUGUCUCGCUAUUAUCAUGCGUUAGUAAAAUUUUGGAGAGAAUUAUUUUCAAACAUGUAUAUAAUUAUUUUCAUAGUAAUGAUCUAUUUUAUCGAUAUCAAGCUGGAUUUUUACCAGGUCAUUCUACAGUUUAUCAAUUAUUAGAAACUUAUCAUAGUAUUGUUCAAAGUAUUGAUGAAGGGAAAUCAUGUUGUAUGAUAUUUUGUGACCUGUCAAAAGCAUUUGAUAGAGUAUGGCAUAAUGGUCUUAUUUUCAAAUUACAAACUUAUGGUAUAUCUGGUAGUCUUUUACAUUGGUUCAGAAGCUACUUAUGUCAAAGAUCACAAAAAGUAAUGUAUAAGGACCUUUUAUCGUCACAACUUGAUAUAUUUGCUGGUGUACCCCAAGGUUCUGUUUUAGGACUUUUACUAUUUUUGAUUUAUGUUAAUGAUGUUGCUGUAAAUAUGCUAUCAAUGUGUAGAUUAUUUGCUGAUGACAACUCACUCCAGCAGACAUACUAAUGAAGAUAUAUAUCAUUUCUUUUUUGCUUGUAAAAAUUACUCCAGGGCUAGAAAUGAUCUUUUUAAUCGCCUUUUCAUGCUUGACUUGGUUAAUAUUGAUACAAAAUUGUUAUUAUGCGGUGAUAUCAAUUUACCUCUGCAAACUAACAUAACUAUUUUUUCAGUUGUUCAUAAAUUUAUAGAAGAAACUUGUAGAUUUGUUUAAUCAUUGUACAUUAUACCUGUUAAUUAAUACCUUGCAUGACAUAUUGUAAUAUUUUAGGAGAGGGACUUGUAAGUUGUCAGAACUUGUUCCUAAUCCUUUUGAUUUCAUCAAUAAAAUAUGUUCAAAACGAAAACAUCAAAAUGCCCUUAGGGCGUCUUUCGGUUCUACUUUCACUUUGAUAAUGACCAUUUGUUAAUCCGGGAACUUUUCAAACACUUUUCUAUGUGAACGAUUAAAUAUACCGCAUCACAGCUCCAAAUCACCACAUUAUCUACUAACAAGAUACAUGUAGAGCAAGGAGCUACGAACUCCCCCGUCGAGGCCUGAUCGUAUUUAUGUACAAAAGUUUUGAAAUCCAUGUUAUUUGAAUAAAAAAAUCACGUGGGAUAGCGAACCAAAAUAAUGGCGGACCACGAGUCGGCGUUUAAGUUGAUGGUCUAUAUUUCUGAAAAGGCACGCAUAUUAUUUUGAUACGGGAUUAUUUAAAUGUUAUGACGAUUUAAUAAGUGAACGGCACUUUGACUUUGCUCUUAAACUGAGACACACGAAUGGAACAGGAUCGUCACAACAAUUUGAACGAUGUGGGGAAGUCGGCAUUAAAAUUAUAUUGGGUAAUAUUAAAACUUAUUGUAAAUUGCUGUCAUCAUGCAAUUCACUUGGAUAUUCAUGGAUGACAUUAAAGUGUUUAAGUGAUUUCUAUUUUGAAUGUCGGAAUCGAGCUGUGGUAAUAAAAAGGGGUGUUAAAUUAUUUAUUAAGAACUGUAGAGGUCCUCAUCUGUGACGAAUGCAAAACGUCCUGAGUAAAUUUCAGGAGACAUUGGAAGAUUUACGUGUAUUAUAUACAAUGUGUACAAAAUGAUUGUUCUAAACUCUAUUCUGUCUGGCAGCGUUAUGUGUUUAAUGAAAACAUAAGAAAAUUUGUAAAUCUGAUUUUAAAAAAAAAAUACCGACCUACCUACCCGACUUGAAAAAUGUGGGUCGGAGUACAUCAAACAAAAAAAAAAACAACAACAAAAAACAAAAAAAAAACAAAAAAACCAAAAAAUUGAAUGAUGGCCUUAUAAGAGUUAUGAGAUUGAUUACUGUUCGUAAUCUUGACCUUUCAUGGAGAAUACUGAGAUGUGAAAAAUACUUGUAAGUACAUGAGACAACAACUCAGUAAAACAGUAAUUUAAAAAUAUGCUUAAUGUAGCACUUUAAACAAGAAUUUAACAAAAAGAAAAAUAUAAGAUGAAAAUAAUGAGAUUUGUAACACUAGACAGUAGACAAAUUACUGAACAAAUGUGACAAAGUAAAGGAAAGUUUCUCAGGAGCUUGAAUCCUUCAGCUGAUAUAACUGGAGAGACAAUCAUGAAGAACUCCAGAGAUUUCUAGAAUGAGGUAAAAAUGGUGUUUAAUCAUGGCCUACAUAUACAUUUAUUUAUUGGAAUAGGACACACACUUUUUAAUUACACAUCUGAUGUAGACAGCAACUUUUUUUUUUGUAUUCUUUAGAAGAUAGGACAUAGGGUUUUUAAAAAAUGGAAAUAUAGAAUAUGCACUGGUCCCCCCCCCCACCCCCCAGUAAAUAUUGACCGGUCCCUUAGUCUACAAAGAUUAAUAAUGAGUUUACAUAUGGAAAUAGAUAAUUAUGAAUUGAUGCAUGAAUUUAAUUAUUUGUAUUUGAACAUUUUAUAACAUUAGAUAAAAAGAUAUUCCUUUCUAUAUCAAAGUGUAUACAGAUAUCAUAAUGUAUAUAAAGAUGAAGUUGUGUGCAAUAAAUAUGUAAAAUUUAUUGUAUUUCAUAUUGAAGUAUAUAGAUAUGUGAAAUUGUCGUUUUUAUAAUAUCCUCCAAUUUUUGCAUAAAAUAGAAUCGCCACGUAUUAGGAGUAAAUUGCAUUGACCAAUAAGAAAUCAAAUUAUUGUGUUUGAGAACAUAAUUAUGAGGCCUUUACACUUAAAAAGCACUAGUUUUGCCGAAGAUUCUUUUCUUCCUGAUUAUUCUUUAUAAAUUAAGGCAAGUCUGUUUUACGGAAAGAACAUCGGUUAUGCAUAAUUCUUCAGAAAAUAAGAAAUUGUACACGUUUCUCUUUUGUAUAUUAAAUAUUGUUUAGAAUUGUGUUUAGAGUAUACAAAUUUAAGAGAACGAUUUACACAAUGUACGUGCAAGAUUUGCAACCUUUUAAAAUAUAUUUAGGAUUCUAAUCUCAAUUGGCAUGAUUUUGAAACAGAUUCCAUGUAUAUGUGUGAAUUCCCAGUCUAUCCCUCUUCCAAUUCAUGUAAUCGUUUCACACUUUUUGUAAGCUUUAGAGAUUGGCCUUCUACCGGUAUAAUAAAAUGAAUGGGGAUACUUCAGGUGCCUGUGAAAAAGUCUAGUCUCCGUAGGAUAAAACACGGAAACCCCCC